CAGUAGCCACGGGAAUACGGAGGGAGCUAGCGUUGUUCGGAAUUACUGGGCGUAAAGCGCACGUAGGCGGCUUUGUAAGUUAGGGGUGAAAGCCUGGAGCUCAACUCCAGAACUGCCUUUAAGACUGCAUCGCUUGAAUCCAGGAGAGGUGAGUGGAAUUCCGAGUGUAGAGGUGAAAUUCGUAGAUAUUCGGAAGAACACCAGUGGCGAAGGCGGCUCACUGGACUGGUAUUGACGCUGAGAGACGAAAGCUAGGGGAGCAAAUGGGAUUAGAGACCCCCGUAGUCCCUGUCUCUUAUAC
rnacentral:rRNA from 1 species